rnacentral:rRNA from 1 species
GGGGACAACAGUUGGAAACGACUGCUAAUACCGCAUAAGCGCACAGCUUCGCAUGAAGCAGUGUGAAAAACUCCGGUGGUACAAGAUGGACCCGCGUCUGAUUAGCUGGUUGGUGAGGUAACGGCCCACCAAGGGCGACGAUCAGUAGCCGGCCUGAGAGGGUGAACGGCCACAUUGGGACUGAGACACGGCCCAAACUCCUACGGGAGGCAGCAGUGGGGAAUAUUGCACAAUGGGGGAAACCCUGAUGCAGCAACGCCGCGUGAGUGAAGAAGUAUUUCGGUAUGUAAAGCUCUAUCAGCAGGAAAGAAAAUGACGGUACCUGACUAAGAAGCCCCGGCUAACUACGUGCCAGCAGCCGCGGUAAUACGUAGGGGGCAAGCGUUAUCCGGAUUUACUGGGUGUAAAGGGAGCGUAGACGGUUUUGCAAGUCUGAAGUGAAAGCCCGGGGCUUAACCCCGGGACUGCUUUGGAAACUGUAGAACUAGGGUGCAGGAGAGGUAAGUGGAAUUCCUAGUGUAGCGGUGAAAUGCGUAGAUAUUAGGAGGAACACCAGUGGCGAAGGCGGCUUACUGGACUGUAACUGACGUUGAGGCUCGAAAGUGUGGGGAGCAAACAGGAUUAGAUACCCUGGUAGUCCACACUGUAAACGAUGAUUGCUAGGUGUGGGGGGUCUGACCCCCUCCGUGCCGGAGUUAACGCAAUAAGCAAUCCACCUGGGGAGUACGGCCGCAAGGUUGAAACUCAAAGGGAUUGACGGGGACCCGCACAAGCAGUGGAUUAUGUGGUUUAAUUCGAAGCAACGCGAAGAACCUUACCAGGUCUUGACAUCCGACUAACGAGAUAGAGAUAUGUCAGGUGCCCUUCGGGGAAAGUCGAGACAGGUGGUGCAUGGUUGUCGUCAGCUCGUGUCGUGAGAUGUUGGGUUAAGUCCCGCAACGAGCGCAACCCUUAUCUUUAGUAGCCAGCGGUCCGGCCGGGCACUCUAGAGAGACUGCCAGGGAUAACCUGGAGGAAGGCGGGGAUGACGUCAAAUCAUCAUGCCCCUUAUGACUUGGGCUACACACGUGCUACAAUGGCGUAAACAAAGGGAAGCAAAGCUGUGAAGCCGAGCAAAUCUCAAAAAUAACGUCUCAGUUCGGACUGUAGUCUGCAACCCGACUACACGAAGCUGGAAUCGCUAGUAAUCGCAGAUCAGAAUGCUGCGGUGAAUACGUUCCCGGGUCUUGCACUCACCGCCCGUCA